rnacentral:rRNA from 1 species
UUGUUUUCUUUGCUGGCGACCGGCGCACGGGUGAGUAACACGUAUCCAACCUGCCCUUUACUCGGGGAUAGCCUUUCGAAAGAAAGAUUAAUACCCGAUAGUAUAAUGAUUCCGCAUGGUUUCAUUAUUAAAGGAUUCCGGUAAAGGAUGGGGAUGCGUUCCAUUAGGUUGUUGGUGAGGUAACGGCUCACCAAGCCUUCGAUGGAUAGGGGUUCUGAGAGGAAGGUCCCCCACAUUGGAACUGAGACACGGUCCAA